rnacentral:rRNA from 1 species
UAUCCUACGGGAGGCAGCAGUGGGGAAUAUUGCACAAUGGGGGAAACCCUGAUGCAGCGACGCCGCGUGAGUGAGGAAGUAUUUCGGUAUGUAAAGCUCUAUCAGCAGGGAAGAAGAAAGACGGUACCUGACUAAGAAGCCCCGGCUAACUACGUGCCAGCAGCCGCGGUAAUACGUAGGGGGCAAGCGUUAUCCGGAUUUACUGGGUGUAAAGGGAGCGUAGACGGCUGUGCAAGUCUGAAGUGAAUGCCCAUGGCUCAACCGCGGAACUGCUUUGGAAACUGUAUAGCUUG